AUAACAAAUGAGAGUACAGGGACAAAACAUAACAUUAACUGAUCAACCCUUAAAAGGUCGCUCGGCAGUUGCGCUAGGGUUUUCUCUUUUCUCUCCUCUGUGCCACUGAGCUGAUACAAUAGACCGAGACUUCCACCAGACACAGAACAAUAAACAGGAGGGCGCUAAAGUAUUUAUGAAAGCUAUUGUUUGCUAAUACAUAAUCUUUUUUAAACAAAACGACUGGUUAUGCCAAAUAUGGAAACUCAAAAUUCUAACGUUUCACGAGCUGAAGAAAUCAAAGUCUUGGCCAAUGAAGCAUUUAAAGCCCACAAAUAUGGACAGGCUAUUGAUCUGUACACGCAAGCUAUCGAACUAAAUGGUGACAAUGCAGUUUACUGGGCUAAUCGUGCAUUCGCUCACUCUAAACUCGAGGAAUAUGGCAGUGCGAUACAGGAUGCUUCGAAAGCCACUGAAAUUGAUCCUAAAUACUCGAAGGGUUAUUACAGGCGAGGCGCUGCUUAUCUUGCCAUGGGCAAAUUCAAAGAUGCUCUAAAGGACUUCCAACAAGUGAAAAAAAUCUGCCCAAAUGAUCCUGAUGCUUCAAAGAAAUUAAAGGAAUGUGAGAAGGCAGUAAUGAAGCUUAAGUUUGAAGAAGCAAUUGCUGUUCCCGAGUCUCAGAGGCGCUCAGUAGCUGAUUCUAUUGAUUUUCAUUCGAUAGGGACUAGCCCCAGUUCAUCAUCCAUGCCCACCCAAGUGGCCAUAGCACCAGUAGCAGUAGCAGUUGUGGCAGCAGCUGUGAUGUUGGUGGGAACGGCAAAACCUGUUGUGGUGGUUGCAGUGCUAAUGGUGGUACUGGUGGUCCUAGGGGCAUAUUUGUGGGGUAGCUGCAGGGGUAGUGGUGUUUUUACCAAGAGAGGAAUAAUGGAUUUAGAUGUCGAGCCACAAUACUCUGGUGCAAGGAUAGAGGGAGAUAUUGUCACUUUGGAUUUUGUCAAGAAAAUGAUGGAUGACUUCAAGAAUCAAAAGUGCUUACACAAACGAUAUGCAUUCCAGAUGGUUUUACAAACAAGAGAAAUUCUGCAAGCUCUGCCUUCUUUGGUUGAUAUAAAUGUUCCCGAGGGCAAGCAUUUCACUGUUUGUGGUGAUGUACAUGGUCAGUUCUAUGAUCUAUUAAACAUUUUUGAGCUGAAUGGGCUUCCCUCGGAAGAGAAUCCAUAUCUGUUUAAUGGUGACUUUGUGGAUAGGGGAUCAUUUUCCUUGGAAGUCAUCCUCACAUUGUUUGCUUUCAAGUGCAUGUGUCCAUCAGCUAUAUAUCUUUCUAGAGGAAAUCAUGAAAGCAAGAGCAUGAACAAGAUAUAUGGUUUUGAGGGUGAGGUCAGAUCCAAGUUGAGCGAGACAUUUGUCGAACUCUUUGCAGAAGUCUUCUGUUGUUUACCUUUGGCUCAUGUAAUAAAUGGGAAGGUGUUUGUGGUACAUGGAGGUCUUUUUAGUGUUGAUGGGGUGAAACUGUCUGACAUUAAAGCCAUCGAUCGGUUUUGCGAACCUCCAGAGGAAGGAUUGAUGUGUGAAUUGCUAUGGAGUGAUCCACAGCCUUUCCCUGGAAGAGGUCCUAGCAAGCGGGGUGUAGGGCUUUCUUUUGGUAAAGAUGUGACACGGAGAUUUUUGCAGGACAAUAACCUAGAUUUAGUUGUGCGAUCUCAUGAAGUAAAGGAUGAAGGAUAUGAGAUCGAGCAUGAUGGUAAAUUGAUCACUGUAUUUUCUGCUCCAAAUUAUUGCGAUCAGAUGGGUAACAAGGGUGCUUUUAUUCGAUUUGAAGCCCCUGAUUUGAAGCCAAAUAUUGUUACAUUCUCAGCAGUGCCUCACCCUAACGUCAAGCCUAUGGCAUAUGCAAACAACUUCCUGCGAAUGUUCUCAUAAUUUAUGUACCUGUCUGGGAUGGUCAUUCUUAUACUUUAUCAGCCGCAUGGUGUCUCUGCUGUCAAAAUGCUAGUUGUUUCAUAUGGCAGCUGGAGAGGAGCCCGUACAUGCUGACAAAUUCUGCUUUUAAGUUGUGAUAUUCUUUUAAAUGACACCUUUUCCUUGCCCUCUCCUUUUCCUGCUCUUCAUCUGUAAGAAUUUUCAGCGUGUGGUCUCCUUUCAAUUUUUUUUUUCCAGGCCAGUUAUAGGUGAAGCAAGUACUGGCAUGGAUGUUGGUGCCAUUGUAAAACGUAUGACCUCCUUCGUGCAUUGUUUUCAUUUUUCAAUCGUAAGGCGAGUUGUGUCCAGCAUGGCGAUUCGUCAGUGCAAAAAUUGAAUAAAGUUGCAAUCACAAAUAAAUGUAGCAGCUGUAGCGUGACUCAAGUGCAUGCCAUUCGGAGCUCCGAUUCUGAUUAUGAACCUCCGGUGACAAGGGAGAACGCUGCCAUUACUUCCGAUUAUCUACUGUGCACGUAUAUAUAGUGACUCAUGGUACGCGAGCAUGCAUGUGCACCUCGUGUGUUCUAUGAUCGAAGUGAAACGCUGGUGCAAUGAAAUGGUGAAGGGCUAGUAACGUGCCUCUAGCGGUUAGAUCUUAACUUUAACGUUGACUAGCGUUGAAAAGAAAGUCUCCGUUUCGGUUAUUUUAUAAACCAAAUUAUUUUUUAGUGGUAAGCCUGAAGCAAAGUCGCCCUUCAUUUCCCUGCGUCAUGGGCAACUGCAAUCAAAACCUUGAUCGAUUGAUGGUGGAUUGUUGGUAAUGGUCUAGUGCCUGUAGUUCCUUCUUUA